CCUACGGGGGGCAGCAGUGGGGGAUAUUGCACAAUGGGGGAAACCCUGAUGCAGCGACGCCGCGUGGGCGAAGAAGUAUUUCGGUAUGUAAAGCCCUAUCAGCAGGGAAGAAGAAAUGACGGUACCUGAGUAAGAAGCACCGGCUAAAUACGUGCCAGCAGCCGCGGUAAUACGUAUGGUGCAAGCGUUAUCCGGAUUCACUGGGUGUAAAGGGAGCGUAGACGGCCAUGCAAGCCUGGAGUGAGAGCCCGGGGCCCAACCCCGGGACUGCUCUGGGAAC
rnacentral:rRNA from 1 species